UGAAAUGAGAAAUUGUUGGAAGGGCUUGGGCGGCUUGGUAGUGAUGUGAUCUAGUUCAUGUUUUAAAACAGAAUUUUGGCUAUUCAUGGAGACUUGACUAAAGGAGAGCCAGAAUAAAAGCAAGCAAACCAAUCAGACCAAUAAAGGUGAAAAGUAAUGGUGGCUUGGUCUACAAUGAUUAUUGAUAAUAUAAAUAGAUAUGGAAGGAGAGAGGGAGAAAGGGGGGAGAGAGAAUAAAUGGAUAAAGCAUUAAUGGUCGUAAAUAAAGGAUGUCUGUGUAGAGCAUUUAUGAAAGCUCAGGGAAAAAUGCCCUCGGAGACAGAGAGGUUGCCUUUGGAACCCACUGAAUUGUAGGAAGGAAACAUCCCUUGGGAAAUGAGAAACUCAAUUCUGAUUUUUAACCUGGAUAUUAUUUUAAGUUGCCUACUUUUCAGUCAUUUGGGUAUGAGUAGAUGAUCUCACACACUGAAAAAACGAUUUAGAAUGGUUAAAACUCCAGAUUUAUUUCAACUGUUUGUUUUGUCUCAGUAGUAAUGUACCCCCAUAUUUUGUACCUUCCAUUCCAGACUAUUUACUGGGGAAUCUGUUUAAAAGCCUGCCUACUUUUUCUUGUUCUGCUAGAGAAUAGUUGAUUAUACAUUAGUCUGUGAACAUUUUCAGUUAAAUUGUAGUUGUUGCUGUUAGAAUUAAGUGAUUCUUAUCUAAUAUCCAAUUCUUGGACCCUCUGAGAUAUUGAGGGAUGCUAUUGUGAAUUCUCUAAGGGACAGGGACCCACAGGUGCUUACUGCAUCUUUGUUGAAUCAGUGAACAGGCAGUUUUUCUAAGGUCACACUGGAAUUAUUAGAAUGAAAAUGAGAUUUCUUUAUACCAUACCGUUUUGUCUCAAAGUUGUGUGUAGUCAAUGCAAAAUGAUUGUGAAUGUUUUAAUAAGCCCUGAUGGUGACUGAAAAUGGGAAAUAGCAUAUUUAUAGUCUAAAAAAGGGACUGCAGGGAGUUCUAAGGUUCACACACCAUGUGGGAGUUCCUGUUGUGCCUUGCCAAGGGGAUACAUGAAGUCCUCUUGGGCUCUGAUGACACACCGUGCAGGCAUCCAGAGCUUCUGCUGAUGGGAGUAUGUUGCAUUUACAAAUGAAGUGGAGGCGCAAAAAGUUUGAGAAGUUAGAUUUAUGACUGUAUUUUAUGGGUUUUUUUAAUGCCUUUGUGUUUUCUAUUAAUCUCAUUUGUACAGACUAAAUUUCUCAAACCCAGUGGUAAUUAAUAGGAAAUUUUGCGCGUUUUUAAAAUGACAAAGAAUUUUUUUAACUCUCCCUUUGGUUUUUAGACUUUCUAAUCCCUUUUUCUAAGAAGAUACGUUGACAUCUUGUGUUCAAGACAAAGCAUUAGAACAUUUAACCACCUUAAAAGUAUUUUCGUGUAAAUAUAGUUUUUGGGAUACAGUUUUAGUUCAGAAGUAGUGUACCUCAGUGAGGGGGACUUUCUAUAGAUGGAGCACUAGAUAAAAGAGGAUCCUGACCGAUGUUGAUCAUCUUGCCUCAUCACUGAUUUAUUCUGCAUCUGUCUUCCACCCUAUAUUUAAAUUUCAAUAGAUGAUCAACACAUAACACUGCAGAUUAUCCUUGUUUGGUGUUUGAGUAAUUUCUCUCCAGUACGACAUUGUGAUAUUAUUUAUUGCACAUGAACAUAUAAUGGAUUCUUCAAGAAAUGUUUUUCCUAGUAAGUUGAUUUACAUGUUAUCUUCAAAGUAAGUAACAGUAGAUGUUAGUUUUAAGUGGUUUUAAGUAUAUGGUGAAAAAUAAACUGCUGAAUAUCACUUGGUAAUUUGUUUCCAGUGCCUUUUCGUUAUAUAUGAACAUGGUGGAUACAUUAAAUAACUUUACUGGAAUUCUUUGAUGUGGCAAUAAUUUACUUGAAAUACUGAACUUUUAAAGAAAAUAAUGGAGGCUGUACAGGAGGAUCAAAGAAAACAUGGAUGAAGCUACCUGAAAUAAGGCUUCCGACGUGAAUCAGAAGUUUAGAGACGAGGAAGUGCGGGAGUCACAUUUCCUUUCAGGUCAUUUUGUGGGAGAAAUGCUUUUAAUGACGCAGGAAAAAGAAGCCAGAAAACAAAUCUUAUUUCAUUUGUGAAUUUAUUCCUCCAUAGAAACAAUUUAUGGAUAUAUGAGCAAUCAUAAUACUUGACAUUUAAAAAAAUAUACCUUAUAGACAAAUUUUCUAUGGUUAAAAUAUCUGAAAUAAUGCAAACUUUCCAUUUUCAUUCAGUUUUUUUUUUUUUUUUUUAAAGAUGUAUACCUGUUCCCUUAGUGUGAUCUUACUGGUUAAUGUUGGAAAGUAUUAUGGUAGUAGUCCACAAAUACAGAAUAACCAACAACCCCGCGCCC